rnacentral:rRNA from 3 species
CCAGUACACCUAGCCAACACGAUCCAAUUGCCUGGGUUAUUUUUGUGCUACAAAAACC